rnacentral:rRNA from 1 species
GAUGAACGCUGGCGGCGUGCCUAAUACAUGCAAGUCGAGCGAACAGAUGAGGAGCUUGCUCCUCUGACGUUAGCGGCGGACGGGUGAGUAACACGUGGAUAACCUACCUAUAAGACUGGGAUAACUUCGGGAAACCGGAGCUAAUACCGGAUAAUAUAUUGAACCGCAUGGUUCAAUAGUGAAAGACGGUUUUGCUGUCACUUAUAGAUGGAUCCGCGCCGCAUUAGCUAGUUGGUAAGGUAACGGCUUACCAAGGCAACGAUGCGUAGCCGACCUGAGAGGGUGAUCCGCCACACUGGAACUGAGACACGGUCCAGACUCCUACGGGAGGCAGCAGUAGGGAAUCCUCCGCAAUGGGCGAAAGCCUGACGGAGCAACGGCGCGUGAGUGAUGAAGGUCUUCGGAUCGUAAAACUCUGUUAUUAGGGAAGAACAAAUGUGUAAGUAACUAUGCACGUCUUGAAGGUACCUAAUCAGAAAGCCAAGGCUAACUACGUG